AUGAACGCUAGCUACAGGCUUAACACAUGCAAGUCGAGGGGCAUCAGGAAGAAAGCUUGCUUUCUUUGCUGGCGACCGGCGCACGGGUGAGUAACACGUAUCCAACCUGCCCUUUACUCGGGGAUAGCCUUUCGAAAGAAAGAUUAAUACCCGAUAGCAUAAUGAUUCCGCAUGGUUUCAUUAUUAAAGGAUUCUGGUAAAGGAUGGGGAUGCGUUCCAUUAGGUUGUUGGUGAGGUAACGGCUCACCAAGCCUUCGAUGGAUAGGGGUUCUGAGAGGAAGGUCCCCCACAUUGGAACUGAGACACGGUCCAAACUCCUACGGGAGGCAGCAGUGAGGAAUAUUGGUCAAUGGGCGCUAGCCUGAACCAGCCAAGUAGCGUGAAGGAUGAAGGCUCUAUGGGUCGUAAACUUCUUUUAUAUAAGAAUAAAGUGCAGUAUGUAUACUGUUUUGUAUGUAUUAUAUGAAUAAGGAUCGGCUAACUCCGUGCCAGCAGCCGCGGUAAUACGGAGGAUCCGAGCGUUAUCCGGAUUUAUUGGGUUUAAAGGGAGCGUAGGUGGACUGGUAAGUCAGUUGUGAAAGUUUGCGGCUCAACCGUAAAAUUGCAGUUGAUACUGUCAGUCUUGAGUACAGUAGAGGUGGGCGGAAUUCGUGGUGUAGCGGUGAAAUGCUUAGAUAUCACGAAGAACUCCGAUUGCGAAGGCAGCUCACUGGACUGCAACUGACACUGAUGCUCGAAAGUGUGGGUAUCAAACAGGAUUAGAUACCCUGGUAGUCCACACAGUAAACGAUGAAUACUCGCUGUUUGCGAUAUACAGUAAGCGGCCAAGCGAAAGCAUUAAGUAUUCCACCUGGGGAGUACGCCGGCAACGGUGAAACUCAAAGGAAUUGACGGGGGCCCGCACAAGCGGAGGAACAUGUGGUUUAAUUCGAUGAUACGCGAGGAACCUUACCCGGGCUUAAAUUGCAGUGGAAUGAUGUGGAAACAUGUCAGUGAGCAAUCACCGCUGUGAAGGUGCUGCAUGGUUGUCGUCAGCUCGUGCCGUGAGGUGUCGGCUUAAGUGCCAUAACGAGCGCAACCCUUAUCUUCAGUUACUAACAGGUCAUGCUGAGGACUCUGGAGAGACUGCCGUCGUAAGAUGUGAGGAAGGUGGGGAUGACGUCAAAUCAGCACGGCCCUUACGUCCGGGGCUACACACGUGUUACAAUGGGGGGUACAGAAGGCAGCUAGCGGGUGACCGUAUGCUAAUCCCAAAAUCCUCUCUCAGUUCGGAUCGAAGUCUGCAACCCGACUUCGUGAAGCUGGAUUCGCUAGUAAUCGCGCAUCAGCCACGGCGCGGUGAAUACGUUCCCGGGCCUUGUACACACCGCCCGUCAAGCCAUGGGAGCCGGGGGUACCUGAAGUACGUAACCGCAAGGAUCGUCCUAGGGUAAAACUGGUGACUGGGGCU
rnacentral:rRNA from 1 species